GGGGGCGCUGCGGACCCCCGCGGGGCGGCUGAUGGCGGCCGAGACGGCGCUGUGGGCGGCGCUGCUCCCUCUGCUGGCGCUGUCGGCGCCCCACGCGCUGCUCCCGGCUCUGUUGGCCGCUCUGUGGGGCGGAGCCACGUUGGGGGCGGCGCUGCUGCGCUUCACCCCCCGGCUGCCCCACGGAGACUGCGUGGAGGCGCUGCGUUCGUGCAGCGGAGCGGUGGUGGCCGCCGUGGUGGCGCUGAUGGCCAUCGUGGCGUCGCGCAGCGUCAUGGCCGCCGUCACCUUCAGCCUGGCCCUGGGGCUGGCGCUGCUCUACGCCUACGACGCCUUCGGCACCAUCCGCACCCGCCUGGCGCCGCCCCACGACCCACAACUGAACGGGACCUGAGAGAGGGAACUCCGACAUCCGGACCCACAACUCUGCCCCAUAGCGUCCCAUAGAUCCCUCCUGCCCCAUAGAUCUGUGCUGCCCCAUAGAUCCACCCCAUAGAUCUGUCCUAUAGAUGCGUGCCCCAUAGCUCUGCCCCAUAGAUCUGUGCUGCCCCAUGGAUCCACCCCAUAGAUGUGCCCUAUAAAUGUGUGCCCCAUAGAUCUGUGCUACCCCAUAGAUCCACCCUAUAGAUGUGUGCCCCAUAGCUCUGCCCCAUAGAUGAUCUGUACUGCCCCAUGGAUCUGUGCUGCCCUAUAGAUCCACCCCAUAGAUCCGCCCCAUAGAUUGUGCCCCAUAGAUGAUCUGUGCCCCAUAGAUCCGUGCUGCCCCAUAGAUCCACCCCAUAGAUCCGCCCCAUAGGUUUGUGCCCCAUAGAUGAGUGCCAUUAAUUAAAGACCGUUAAAACUCACUAUCCCUACACGAAUACAACAGCCGGCUACGAUCAUUAACAUUCAUUAACAGUUACUAAUCCUCAUUAAUAUUAACUAGCACGGAUAAAAGUGCUCAUUAGCACCAAUUAAAGCCAAUUGAUCAUUUAUAAGCCACCUACAAAUGAACUUAACAGGCAAUAAGGACCGCCAGCGCCUGUUUUAGCCUCGUUAACGCUCAUUAACCGCCCUAAUUAACGACGCGCGGACUCUCAAAGGCUUCUAACGCUGGGCACGCCGUGCUCAUUAAUAUUCAUGAGGGCUAUCAAUAUUCACGAGCUCCAGCGC
rnacentral:lncRNA from 1 species